rnacentral:rRNA from 1 species
AUACGGAGGAUGCGAGCGUUAUCCGGAUUUAUUGGGUUUAAAGGGAGCACAGACGGGUCGUUAAGUCAGCUGUGAAAGUUUGGGGCUCAACCUUAAAAUUGCAGUUGAUACUGGCGUCCUUGAGUGCGGUUGAGGUGUGCGGAAUUCGUGGUGUAGCGGUGAAAUGCUUAGAUAUCACGAAGAACUCCGAUUGCGAAGGCAGCACACUAAGCCGUAACUGACGUUCAUGCUCGAAAGUGUGGGUAUCAAACAGGAUUAGAUACCCUGGUAGUCCACACGGUAAACGAUGGAUACUCGCUGUUGGCGAUAUACGGUCAGCGGCUUAGCGAAAGCGUUAAGUAUCCCACCUGGGGAGUACGCCGGCAACGGUGAAACUCAAAGGAAUUGACGGGGGCCCGCACAAGCGGAGGAACAUGUGGUUUAAUUCGAUGAUACGCGAGGAACCUUACCCGGGCUUAAAUUGCAAAGGAAUAAUCUGGAAACAGGUUAGUCUUCGGACCUUUGUGAAGGUGCUGCAUGGUUGUCGUCAGCUCGUGCCGUGAGGUGUCGGCUUAAGUGCCAUAACGAGCGCAACCCUCGCCGCCAGUUACUAACAGUUAAAGCUGAGGACUCUGGCGGGACUGCCAUCGUAAGAUGUGAGGAAGGUGGGGAUGACGUCAAAUCAGCACGGCCCUUACGUCCGGGGCUACACACGUGUUACAAUGGGCGGUACAGAAGGCAGCUACCUGGCGACAGGAUGCCAAUCCCUAAAGCCGCUCUCAGUUCGGACUGGAGUCUGCAACCCGACUCCACGAAGCUGGAUUCGCUAGUAAUCGCGCAUCAGCCACGGCGCGGUGAAUACGUUCCCGGGCCUUGUACACACCGCCCGUCAAGCCAUGAAAGCCGGGGGUACCUGAAGUGCGUAACCGCAAGGAGCGCCCUAGGGUAAAACUGGUAAUUGGGGCU